rnacentral:misc_RNA from 1 species
GUACGACUUCAGUUCACUUUUUAAAAUAUCAAAAUAAGCUUAAUUAGGUACGGUUCUUAUUGGUUUAAAGAACCAUAGAGUUCUUCAGUUCGGUUCAACGUUUGGAGAACAGUGCACAGCCCUAUUUAGCAUGUUACCGUAAUAACCAGCUAAGAUGUGCCAUUGAAGUGUAAAGACCAUGAAGUUUGAAGGGCACUAAGUAACAUCUUUGAUCAAAAACUAUGAUACCAAGAAGACCAGACACCCUUUUAUCCUCAGAAGAAAAGAGAAACAAGGAAACAACGAAGGAUUUAACUAUCUGUGAUUUAACUCGAUAACAUCUGUGUGCAAAACAGUGAGGUUAACCACCUCCUGAAGCAGUUUUCUUUGGUCGUUGGUCGUUAGUUGUUACUGCCUUCGCUUCUUGGUGCUGCAAGAUGGGCAUAUGUACUGCUUGAUCAUUUCAGCCUUGGCUGGUGUUAUCUUCACACAUUUUCCAUGGUACCACCGCUCGCAUAUGUCACAACCAAUCCAAAAUUCAUCAGCACUGUAAGUCCCUCCACAGCUACCACAGAGGGUCUCACCAUGCUCAUCUUCAUCUUCUGCAUGGCUUUCAUCAAGUAACUUGGUAUCUCUUACUUGUCCCUCGUUUGAUCUCUGCAAUGAAAGAUAGGUCAUACAUCAAAAUUUAGUUACAUGCAAGUCCAUUGGAGAGAGAACUUUUCACCUUUGUGCCGUUCCUGGAUUUGCUUCCACUGUCCAUGCUGGGUUUGUCUUUUACUGGCUUCCUUUCAGUGACAACUUCAAAUAGGGUAGGCAGAUCAUUUAUCAGGCUAAACAGGCGCUUCCUUUCAUUGCGAUUAAGUCGAGCACCAAAGUAGAAUGCCACAGAAAGCAACCAACAGUCACUAUGCACUGCAACAAGUGAAAGCCAAUCUUUGCGGUGCAUCCCAUCUCUUGCAAAAUUGACACCCAAUGCUGGCUCUGGGAGCUCUGGUGGAACUUCCUCUGCUGGCAGAGUCACCUCCCACGACUCAUUUGGGUGUCCAUACAAACACAAAUUCUCCUUUUCUGGAUCGCAUUGAGAGUAGAAUUCAUCCACAUCGUAAGUAAGAGCACGAACGAGGCCGGUGCGGCGAGCGCUAUAGUCUUUGAAGAUCUCCUCUACAGUACGAGGACUAGAAGAGAUUGAAGCCAUUUACAUGCAUAAACUAGUGCAAAUGCAAUUACAGAAAAAAGUAGCAGAUCAGAUAAAUUACAGUUUGGGAUUUCAGAGGAUAAUAGGAGAAGAAGGAAGCUAUGCAGAUAUCGAUUAAUACAAGACUCAGCGAGAGAGAAGAGAGAAGAGAGAAGAGAGGGAGGAGAAGGGGUGCUCUGUCUCGACAGGAGGGAGAUUUGUUGGCCUAUGCUACUGUAGUCCGCACGUGGUUUACACUUUGCAGACCUGCCCACUUCCCAGUAAUGUCCACUGUCGGGUACGGAAUCGAUCCGUAACCU